rnacentral:tRNA from 1 species
CCCGUAGUCUAGCCAGGCAGGAUGGCGGGCAGGGAACCCGCUGGCCGGGGUUCAAAUCCCCGCGGGCCCACCA